AUUACUAGAUGAAUUGAACUUCUUAAUGUAAUUGGUUAAGAGUUAGAAUGAAAACAAUUUACUUUAUUUGCACGAACUAAACUAUGGUUAUAUUACAAAUUAAAUCAAUAUUUUUGUACAUUUCUUGAAACUUUUAUGAAACUUUGCCAUACAUCCACCAACCAACACACCCACAUUAAGAUAGGAAAGGGGCAGGCAGGGGGUUUGGGUGUCAAAGAUGGAUUCUACAUCAAUAGAAGCGCAUUAAUGGACCCUGAAAGAGAAAAUUGAAUAGUUCUAGGCAGAGAUUUCUACUUCUAGAAGGAAGUUGUAUCUUAAAAUUGGGAUUCUCCUUUACCCUUUCUAAAGCAAGUGUAGAGUGUGUUGAGCAUAUCAGAAUACUGUGAAGAUUUUACUAUAAAGGGCUUAUAAUAAUAACUAUAAUUUGAGAAAGUUAUGUGGGUGCAUUGAUAGAACAAAGAGAGUGAAGAUUUGAUGACACCUACCAUUAACUCCAUUAUUAGAGAUAUUAUAAAUGGUGUUGGAGAAAUGAAUUAGAAUGUAGAUGGUGAAGAUCAGUUCUUCCACAUGUUAUCUGUUAGAUUUGUAUGCUAUUUGUAUGCCAUCAUUACAAUGUGGUUUUUAAUGCCAUUCCAAAAUAGUAUGCCAAUACAAUGCUGCCAGGGGUCAAUAAACAGGAAAUGUCCAUCAUCAAGGUCUUAAUUACAAUAUAUGACUAUAGCAAUUAUUGUCUUCUACAUAUAUCUAGCCCAAAACAGAUCCUUAGUUUCCAAAUCAUUCAUGUAGAAAAGUGAAUUGUAAUGUGGUUUGAUUCAUAUGAAGCAUCCCCUUUCUUAUCAGACAUUACACGAGUCUCUCAUCCUAACAGAUUCUAGACACAUACAUCAGAAAGAUAUCACCAUAUUUAUUAAGAUUUAACAUUUCCUAUACUGGGACAAAGUGCUAAACAUUUGUCUGCACGAUGAUUGCUCCUCAUUUAGCACUUAACCCCAAAAUAGCAUCUGCUUCUGCUUUGAUAAAUAUGGCCCAUCUAUUUAUAACCUUGAAGAUCUUUUUAUGAUUCAAUAUACCAAGGUCCUCUUUUACGUCAAAUUUUCCAUCUUGUUAAAAGGGUUGGAUGUGUAUGUGUGGAGGUUAAAUAGCUAGGAUUGCUUAUGCCGGAGAAUGAAAUCAAAUCUCAAAUAGUGCCAAACUAAAUCAAAAUGCUUUGGCAGUCAAGGGUUAUAUUAAUAAGGAUCAUUAGUCUUUAAACUGCAUUUGUAAAGUUUAUGUCACAAUUUCGAAACUGAAAAAAUAUUAAACAGACUAUUCUGGCCUAAACUUUUACAAACAACCAUGGCAGUCCAUACGUCACUGAAUGAAUGUACUAAAACAACAACCUCGUCUACACAAAAUUACAUCAUAGCAGUGGAACAUUAAACACUGGGGACUAAAGCCAUCAGGAUUUUUAUUUCAAGUAAAUGGAUUUUUUAAAAUGCCAGUAAUACGAUGUUUUCUACAUUAGUAGUUUGUAGUAGAAACAUUUUAGCUUUUGGAAAUAUUGUAUUUCAUAUUAAGCAUUUUAGCAAAUGGCCAAAUAAAUUAAUUUGCUCUUGCAAGAGGCAAUUUAAAUGUUUUCCUCUUUUGUAUGUAGAUGCACGGUCCCCCCUCCAUGGCUACAGGUAAGAAGGGGGAAGGGGGGGUCGGGUAUAAUGUAUGUUUUAUCAGGUUUUGUUUUGAUUAUAAAAAAUAAAUAAAUACAUAAAUCUUGGCAUUAAACUGCCGACCCCCAACACACAAUCCCUCCAAACACACACAGCACCCUCACACAGCACCCUAACACACACACACAUCAUCCUCACACAGCACCUUCACACACACACACACACACAUCACCCUCACACAGCACCCUAACAAACACACACACAGCACCCUCACACAGCACCCUAACACACACAUCAUCCAAACACACAUCACCCUCACUCACACACACAGCACACCUAACACAAAAACACACUAUACUCCUCACAAAGGCACACUACACCACUCACACAUACACACUACACCCUUCACAAACACACUGCACACCUCACACAUACACACAUCAGCCCCCAAACACACUGCACCACUCACACAUACACAAUACUUCCAAACAUAUAUGUAUAAAUACUACAGAACACCUCACACACAUACUGCACCCCGAAACACAUUAUAUUCCAGACAAACACUAGAUCCCUUACCAACUCUGAAUCAUCUACUCAUAUACACACACUAGAUCUUUAUAUACACUCUGAAUCAUCUACACACACACAGACACACACACACACACACACUCACACACACUCACUAGAUCUCCUAUACACACUCUGGGUCCUUCAAACAUACACUAGAUCCCCUACACACACUACAUUUCUGACAUACACACUCUGUAUCCCCUAUGCACACACUAGAUUCCUUGUAAGCAAACACAUAGCGUCUCCAUAAAUGGGAUACAGUGAGUAUUUUUUUCCAUUUAUGGAAACCCCUGAGAUACGUUUCAAGCAAACACAAUGCAAGCAUGUUAUUAAAUUUGCUUGCGCUGUGCAGAACAAAUACAGGGCCCUUUUCUCAUGCCAGAGCUCUUCAGCAGGGCUUUGCACAUGGUCUGCCCUGGAAGAGCAUUGAACCAACAUGCUCACUUUGAGAUGGGGCAUGCUUGUCAUUGAGGGUGAAAAAAACACACCCUAUCUGGCCCCGCCACCUUUUCAGGGAACCGCUGUGGUUAAAAAAUGCCCAGGCCGAAUUUUUUCCCAGUCCAGCCCUGGUCCUCAGCUGUAUGUGUUGAACAUCACAUGACCAAGUUUCACUCUGUUGUCACAGUGGAAGUGUUUCUGGUGGCUGUCAAUGUGAUAGCCACUAGGGGUAUGUUUAACCCAUCAUGGUAAACAUAUAAAACAUCAAUGUUUUACAGGCGCAACAGCACCCAGACCACUUCAGCUCAGACUGUAAGCUCGUUUGAGCAGGGUCCUCUUCAACCUAUCGGUCCUGUAAGUUUUCUUGUAAUUGUCCAAUUUAUAGUUAAAUCCCCCUUUCAUAAUAUUGUAAAGCGCUAUGGAAUCUGUUGGCGCUAUAUAAAUGGUGAUAAUAAUAAUAAUAAAAGUGUUCUGGGUGCAUUAAGGGGUCCUUUAAAUUAAGCAUCAUAUAUCUUUCUUUUUUAUUCUACUAUGCUAGAAACUCAUUCUGUUUUAAUGCAUUGUGUAAUCAAGACACAUGUAAUGUAUUUUACAAUCAGAAAUUAAUUUAUUAUUUCAGCUAGCUAAUAGCUUUUUAAAUGACCACCUACUUGAAAGCAUUAGUCUUUUCCAUUUUCUAAAUUAAAAUGCUAUAUAAUCUUCUGCACCAGUAAGAUUGUAGGGAUUGUUCACAUUGCUGGACUCUGAUUCUAUAAACUAGAUUUAAGGACUUAUUCACUGAGUUGAGAUAUGUGUAUGGAAUUUUGCAUUUUUUCAUAGAUUUUCGACACGCAACAACACACCGUUUUGUGAAUAAACCACUUAUAUACUACAGUUAAGAUAUUAGCUUUAUUAAAAUAUAUACUAUAUGUUUUGUAUUGCACUGUAUUAAUUUCAUCCUAAAUUAGGCACCUCUGGUUUGUAUAAUAGGUGGUAUGUUGCAGAAAGAAAUGUCUCGAAUAUUAUAUCAAUUAUAAUGUCAAAGUCCUUGUUUAUGUCCCAUCAUAUAUCCUGAUGCACUUUAAAUAUCUUUGAAACUUGAGGCUUGAGAAAUAACUUGUUACUAUUUUAAAUGAUUUUUGUUUCUGGGUGUUUUGUUUUGUUUUUUAUCCUGUGCCAGGAAGGCAUAGGUAACUAGUUGCAAAAUAGAAAAGAUGAAACAGUUUUAAGAUUGGUAUUCAGAAAUUAGUCAGUAAUUCACAUGGCUAUAUUAAUUUUACAUAGAAAAUUAUGAUGUAAAUAUAUUCAGCUGUGUUACUAUGUCCUGGUGAAAUAUUACAAACAUAUUUAAAGAAUUGUUAAAGAAGUAAAUUAAAAAG